rnacentral:pre_miRNA from 1 species
GAUAUACUCCCUCCGUCCCAAAAUUCUUAUCUUAAAUUAGUCUAGAUAUGGAUGUAUCUAAUACUAAACGUGACUUGAUACAUCCGUAUUUAGACAAAUCUAAGACAAGAAUUUUGGGACGGAGGGAGUAUCUA